AUGAAACGUCCCUCUUAGAAGAUGCAUGUACUCAAACACUUGGCUGCUGUUAAAACGGCCAACUCAGUCAGCUGAUUUUAGCCAUCCCUUCUGGUUAGUUUUAGUCGGGAAUCUUAGUCUCCCAUUUUUCUUAGUGUCUUAUUGGCCAAGGUCACGUCGAAUCCUAAUCACCACAUAUCGAUCAGCCUACCAGUGACUUUGAUUCACGGGACUUCAGUUUCAGUUAUUCUAGCACGCUGUGUGGUCAGAAAUGUGCUUUCCCCAUCCCCACAGUUUUCCCUCCUACUGAACUUUUACUCCUGUGGGCUGAAUCUCUUUGUCUGAUUGUGUGUGCAUCUAAACCAAACACUUCUCCUUUCCCAGCUAGCAAUGAGGAAUCACCCCAGAAGCAGCCCUCUUCCGGGGAGCCAGAACUGAUUGAAUCGGCCCGAAAUCGGGUGUCAGACUCAGCCCGAAUCAAAAUGAAUGACUGCCCAGAAUCGGCCCAAGUACAUCGGGCCGUUUCAGUCUACCGGAAUUCAGCCGACUGUGCCGGCAUCUUACCAGAAUCCCCCCAGAAGCGACCUGAUGCAAAUGAAACACCAUACACCUGGUGACCAUGUCAGCGUGCAUGCGCCUGGCCCGCCACAGAAGUCGCUACAGCGCGAUGGGACAAGGACAUCCCAGCCGGGCAAACCCUCCCCUAACUCGGACCACGCUGAGCCAAUUGUGCGCCGUCUCAUGGGUCUCCCAGGUGUGGCCGCUGCGCCACUCAGGAGGCCCCAUCCACAAAGUUGUUAAUGCUUAUCAAUUGCCUUGCACAAAGUAUCAAAAUACUACACUGGACUCUUAAAGGAAUUAAUUUAAAUGCUAAUUGUAUUUUUUUGAUCACAGAAACCAUGAGAAAAUAUGGAAAAAUAAAUAAUGAAAUGUUAAUGUCAAAUUCCUUAUAUUAAGCAAACCAGAUAGCACAAUUGUAUUUUUUAAAUUUACUGGCAGAUAGCCAAGGGCACACUAACACUCAGACAUAAUUUACAAAAAGCAUUUGUGUUUCGUGAGUCUGCCAGCUCAGCGGUAGUAACGGAAUGACCAUGGAUGUUCUCUUGAUAAGUGUGUGAAAUGGACCAUUUUCCUUUCAAAAUGUAUUGAGUACUUUUGGGUGUUAGGAAAAAUAUGGAGUAAAAAGUACAUUAUUCUCUUCAGGGAUGUAUUAAAGUAAUAGUUGUACUUCGGUCGGCGUCGCCGGUCUACUAGCCAUCACCGAUCCCCUUUUCUGUUUGUUUUGUCUUUGGUUCUUUUCACACCUGGUUAAAUUUGCCUUAAUUUCUGUGUGCAUAUAUUUACCCUGUUGCCUGCCUAGGUUUGUGUGGGAUUAUUCUUUCAUUGUGAUGUGCUCGGUGAGGUUAUGCCAUUUUUUGUUUUCACCGAUUCAUAAGAGUGUGUUAUUGUCGGUACUUUGUUUGUUCCUCCGUGCGUUUGUACGGGUUCUCUGUUGUCGAGGGCGUUGUACCUUUUUGAUUGUGCCAUACAUGUGUGGUGGACUUGCCAAUUAAAGUACGCUUCUCAGACA